GUCAUUUUUUGUAUUACAUCUUGUAAAAGUAUUUCUUUCAAUUUCAAGCGUGCAAUAUUCAUGCUCCAGUUGGUUGACAUGUCUUCCAUAUUGCUGACAUACCCAUGCCAAAUGACCAUGUGCACAGUUUCACACUUUUCCACGCCCUCAGCCAUUUUAUAUUCGCAGACAUCUGUCGGUCGUGGAAUGGCAUCUGAUAGUCGGGGACGCGGAAAAUGUCAAGUACUCGCAUAAGUGAACACAUAACCCAGACGGGGAAACAUUCCGUGACAUCAUCAUUUGCCAGUAUGAUGUAGCAGCAGAGAUCCACUUGUGCCUGAAAGGAGCAGGAAAAUGGCUCGAGUCGGUAAUGAUGACGCUGCAGCUUGCAGGUGGGAUGUUACUCACUUUUUGGUGGUGAAAUCCAAUUUAAGUUGAUAUGGAUGAUAUACGUGUUUUCUAAUGUGAAUAGAGCUUUAAGAAAUACGAAACGUUGCUGUCUAUAUCUCUUUGUAAUUCACCCUAAAAAAAUCUAAUUAUCGUCACUCAAGAUAAAUACUUUAUCGUAUAGCUUUAAGGAUGUCUCUUGCAAAUUGUUUAUAGUUAAAGAAAAUAGUCUUUUUAAUUUCGUUAAGGCAAGCAUGCUUUAUCAUUUUGUAUAGAAUAAAUUCAAAUAAAUUCGUUGUUCUUUCUUACAUA